UUUUCGAAAAAGCCAUUUGAGAACUUCUCUCACUAAAACUCAACUUCUCUCUAAGUAUUGAUCUAGUAGGAGUGAUUUCCUUACCUUUGGCCUUUACAGAAGUUGUGUUGAUCGUCGAGGGUUACGUUUUGAUCCUAGUAUAUUGAAUUUUGGAGCACUUUAGGUUUCGUCAUCUUCCCCGUUUGAGCUCUAACUUCGAGGUACAGAAAGCAUGCUACUUCCAAGGAUGUAGUUUGGGAGGCUAGAGACAGACAAACUACUUUUGUUGUUUUGCUUUCUUUGAUGUAUUAUAUGUAAAUUCAAGCCAAGGGCUUAAGUUGUAUUGAGUUACUACUCUUCUCUUUUUGUAACCAAGUGUUAACUUGGAAAGUUGUAAGCCCGUAGGGCAUUUGUUUGUUAGCAGCAAGUGAUAUUUCUACAAGAGGUACUCUGAUUAAUAGAAAGAUAUUUAUUUCUCGUA